CUCCAGGAGCACUUACUCUCACCUGCUUCAAGCUCAACUCUGGAUUGAAUCCUACAAGUUACCAAAUCAUCAUCACCCAUAGAAUCAUGCUGGGACUCCAUUCGACAAAGGAUGAUUCUCACGGAAAAAACUAAAGAAAUCGCCAAUGAAAGAAUCACUUUUGUACAAUAUUGCAAUAGACAAUACCACAGAGGCGACUUGGCGACAUAUUUUCGAAAACACACAGCCUCUUCAAAUAUCCAAUGCUACUAUCUCUCUUAAUAAAAUUGUAAUUUGUCCUAGGAGAGAAUAGGAUUGUAAUUUCAACAAGGAGAAUCAACGAAUCUUCUGGAUUUCAAUCUCUACUGUGACAUAAAUAUGUACUAAAAAUUUGUGAGCUAAAAAUACAUUAAAAUAGAAAAGUAAUCAAAUAUUUAUUAAUAUAUGAUGCAGUUUUCAGUCAUGCCUCUAUAAAUAUGUUUGGCAAUAACAGAGGCACACCCAUAUAAAUAAGUGAGUAUUUAUAUUAUUAUUUAUGCUUAUAAUUCUCAGAAAUACAUUCUAGCAUCAUAAUAA
rnacentral:lncRNA from 1 species